UUUCCGUAGGUGAACCUGCGGAAGGAUCAUUAAAAAUGAAAAACGAAUAACUUCAGGGACGAAGGGAACCUGCACGGUGACCUCCCCUGUCGGGCCACCCAAUACCUUCAAAAUGCCGCCGUCCUAGCGGUGGCAGACGAAAAAAAAACAAGAAAAACAAAAUAGAAACAGGUACGGUGGCCCGUUCACCUUCACACAACCCUCCGAGUACCGCUUCCAUGUUGCUUCCACGCAAAGCCACCUCUUGGGUGAGCGCGGGGGAGGUCCGCAUCAAAUUCACCUGAAUGUCACAGCAGUCAGACAGCCAUUCAUGGAAAAAAUAAAACUUUCAACAACGGAUCUCUUGGUUCCC
rnacentral:misc_RNA from 1 species